UACGUAGGGUGCAAGCGUUACUCGGAAUUACUGGGCGUAAAGCGUGCGCAGGCGGUGAUGUAAGACAGAUGUGAAAUCCCCGGGCUCAACCUGGGAACUGCAUUUGUGACUGUAGAGCUGGAGUACGGUAGAGGGGGAUGGAAUUCCGCGUGUAGCAGUGAAAUGCGUAGAUAUGCGGAGGAACACCGAUGGCGAAGGCAAUCCCCUGGACCUGUACUGACGCUCAUGCACGAAAGCGUGGGGAGCAAACAGG
rnacentral:rRNA from 1 species